rnacentral:rRNA from 1 species
CAGUCGCCACGGGAAUACGAAGGGGGCUAGCGUUGUUCGGAUUUACUGGGCGUAAAGCGCACGUAGGCGGAUCGAUCAGUCAGGGGUGAAAUCCCAGAGCUCAACUCUGGAACUGCCUUUGAUACUGUCGAUCUGGAGUAUGGAAGAGGUGAGUGGAAUUCCGAGUGUAGAGGUGAAAUUCGUAGAUAUUCGGAGGAACACCAGUGGCGAAGGCGGCUCACUGGUCCAUUACUGACGCUGAGGUGCGAAAGCGUGGGGAGCAAACAGGAUUAGAUACCCCCGUAGUCCCUGUCUCUUAUAC